CAUGCAAGUCGAGCGAACAGACGAGGAGCUUGCUCCUCUGAUGUUAGCGGCGGACGGGUGAGUAACACGUGGAUAACCUACCUAUAAGACUGGGAUAACUUCGGGAAACCGGAGCUAAUACCGGAUAACAUGUUGAACCGCAUGGUUCAACAGUGAAAGACGGUCUUGCUGUCACUUAUAGAUGGAUCCGCGCCGCAUUAGCUAGUUGGUAAGGUAACGGCUUACCAAGGCAACGAUGCGUAGCCGACCUGAGAGGGUGAUCGGCCACACUGGAACUGAGACACGGUCCAGACUCCUACGGGAGGCAGCAGUAGGGAAUCUUCCGCAAUGGGCGAAAGCCUGACGGAGCAACGCCGCGUGAGUGAAGAAGGUCUUCGGAUCGUAAAACUCUGUUAUUAGGGAAGAACAAAUGUGUAAGUAACUAUGCACGUCUUGACGGUACCUAAUCAGAAAGCCACGGCUAACUACGUGCCAGCAGCCGCGGUAAUACGUAGGUGGCAAGCGUUAUCCGGAAUUAUUGGGCGUAAAGCGCGCGUAGGCGGUUUUUUAAGUCUGAUGUGAAGGCCCACGGCUCAGCCGUGGAGGGUCAUUGGAAACUGGAAAACUUGAGUGCAGAAGAGGAAAGUGGAAUUCCAUGUGUAGCGGUGAAAUGCGCAGAGAUAUGGAGGAACACCAGUGGCGAAGGCGA
rnacentral:rRNA from 1 species